UACGGAGGGUGCAAGCGUUAUCCGGAUUCACUGGGUUUAAAGGGUGCGUAGGUGGGCUGGUAAGUCAGUGGUGAAAUCUCCAGGCUUAACUUGGAAACUGCCAUUGAUACUAUCAGUCUUGAAUACCGUGGAGGUCAGCGGAAUAUGUCAUGUAGCGGUGAAAUGCUUAGAUAUGACAUAGAACACCAAUUGCGAAGGCAGCUGGCUACACGAAUAUUGACACUGAUGACAC
rnacentral:rRNA from 1 species